rnacentral:lncRNA from 1 species
UGCUUCUUACAGUAGAAGCACUCUGCAUGACUCUAAUCAGACUUGAACUUGGACUUCUUGGUCUGACCCCCAGCACAUGACACCUUUUUAUUCCUUUUCUUCUUCCCUUUCUUAAAGAAACAACAUCCGUCUGAAGAAGAUCCUCCCACUACAUUCAUCAUCUCCUUAUGGAGCUGGUGAUCUUUCUCAAAAAUCUAUAGCAAUCCCAGC